AAGAAAGUGACAGAGUGGCUAUGUGGUUGGCUUGAAACCAAUGUAUGGGGGUUCAACUCCUCCCUUUCUCG
rnacentral:tRNA from 1 species